ensembl:misc_RNA Metazoa_SRP Metazoan signal recognition particle RNA
UAAGUUUGACAUCAAUAUGGUGACCUCCCGGGAGCGGGGGACCACCAGGUUGCCUAAGGAGGGGUGAACCACCAGCCCAGGUCGGAAACGGAGCAGGUCAAAACUCCCGUGCUGAUCAGUG